GAGAAUAAUUCCCGAUAGAACAUUAUACCUGGAAUGGUUUAUGUUCCAAAUGAUUUAUCGCCGUAGGAUGGGACUGCGGCCUAUCAGUUUGUUGGUGAGGUAAUGGCCCACCAAGACUAUUACAGGUACGGGCUCUGAGAGGAGUAGCCCGGAGAUGGGUACUGAGACACGGACCCAGGCCCUAUGGGGCGCAGCAGGCGAGAAAACUUUGCAAUGUGCGAAAGCACGACAAGGUUAAUCCGAGUGGUUUCUGCUAAAGAAACCUUUUGUUAGUCCUAGAAACACUAACGAAUAAGGGGUAGGCAAGUUCUGGUGUCAGCCGCCGCGGUAAAACCAGCACCUCAAGUGGUCAGGAUGAUUAUUGGGCCUAAAGCAUCCGUAGCCGGCUCUGUAAGUUUUCGGUUAAAUCUGUACGCUCAACGUACAGGCUGCCGGGAAUACUGCAGAGCUAGGGAGUGGGAGAAGUAGACGGUACUCGGUAGGAAGUGGUAAAAUGCUUUGAUCUAUCGAUGACCACCUGUGGCGAAGGCGGUCUACUAGAACACGUCCGACGGUGAGGGAUGAAAGCUGGGGGAGCAAACCGGAUUAGAUACCCGGGUAGUCCCAGCUGUAAACUAUGCAAACUCAGUGAUGCAUUGGCUUGUGGCCAAUGCAGUGCUGCAGGGAAGCCGUUAAGUUUGCCGCCUGGGAAGUACGUACGCAAGUAUGAAACUUA
rnacentral:rRNA from 1 species